AUAACGUUUUGAAAGAGUGAAAU
rnacentral:snRNA from 1 species